UAGGGAAUAUUGGUAAUGUGGGAAACCGCGAACCAGCAACGCCGCGUGUGCGAUGAAGGCCUUCGGGUUGUAAAGCACUUUUUGAGGGGAUGAGGUAGGACAGUACCUUCAGAAUAAGUCUCGGCUAACUACGUGCCAGCAGCCGCGGUAACACGUAGGAGACAAGCGUUAUCCGGAUUUACUGGGCGUAAAGCGCAUGCAGGCGGUUUGAUAAGUUGGAUGUGAAAGCUCCCGGCUUAACUGGGAGAGGUCGUUCAAUACUGUCGAACUAGAGGAUGGAAGAGGAAGGUGGAAUUCCGGGUGUAGUGGUGAAAUGCGUAGAUAUCCGGAGGAACACCAGUGGCGAAAGCGACCUUCUGGUCCAUAACUGACGCUCAUAUGCGAAAGCUAGGGUAGCAAA
rnacentral:rRNA from 1 species